AGAGUUUGAUCAUGGCUCAGGAUGAACGCUAGCGGCGUGGAUAAGGCAUUCAAGUCGGACGCCCCAGUUUACUGGGGAGUGGCAAACGGGUGAGUAAUACGUUGGUACCUACCUUGAAGUUUGGGAUAACUCUGUGAAAACGGAGCUAAUACCAAAUGGUUCCCGCAAGGGUAAAGAUUUAUCGCUUCAAGAAGGGCCGAUGCACUAUCAGCUAGUUGGUGAGGUAAUGGCUCACCAAGGCUAUGACGGUUAGGAGGCUCGAGAGGGUAUUCUCCCACAUUGGCACUGAGACACUGGCCAAACUCCUACGGGAGGCUGCAGUCGAGGAUCUUCGUCAAUGCACGCAAGUGCGAACGAGCGACGCCGCGUGAGCGAUGACGCCCUUCGGGGUGUAAAGCUCUUUUAUUGGGGACAAACUUUGAUGGUACCCAGUGAAUAAGAGGUUGCUAACUCUGUGCCAGCAGCAGCGGUAAUACAGAGACCUCAAGCGUUAUCCGGAUUUAUUGGGCGUAAAGAGUCUGUAGGUUGAAUAAAUAGUCAGAUGUCAAAUUUUAGGGCUUAACCUUAAAACUGCAUUUGAAACGUUUGUUCUAGAGGACGGUAGGGGCAAGUAGAACUUAUAGUGUAGCAGUAAAAUGCGUUGAUAUUAUAAGGAAUACCAAAAGCGAAGGCAUCUUGCUGGACCGUUCCUGACACUGAGAGGCGAAAGCGUGGGUAGCGAAUGGGAUUAGAUACCCCAGUAGUCCACGCUGUAAACGAUGGAUAUUAGGCAUUAGGGGUGUCAACCCUUUUAGUGCCGAAGCUAACGCGUUAAAUAUCC
rnacentral:rRNA from 1 species